rnacentral:rRNA from 1 species
GCAAGUGGAACGCACUGCUUUCACCGGAGCUUGCUCCACCGAAAGCAGUGAGUCGCGAACGGGUGAGUAACGCGUAGGUAACCUGCCUGGUAGCGGGGGAUAACUAUUGGAAACGAUAGCUAAUACCGCAUAAGAGUACUUAACACAUGUUAGGAGCUUAAAAGAAGCAACUGCUUCACUACCAGAUGGACCUGCGUUGUAUUAGCUAGUUGGUAGGGUAACGGCCUACCAAGGCGACGAUACAUAGCCGACCUGAGAGGGUGAUCGGCCACACUGGGACUGAGACACGGCCCAGACUCCUACGGGAGGCAGCAGUAGGGAAUCUUCGGCAAUGGGGGGAACCCUGACCGAGCAACGCCGCGUGAGUGAAGAAGGUUUUCGGAUCGUAAAGCUCUGUUGUAAGAGAAGAACGGAUAUGAGAGUGGAAAGUUCAUAUCGUGACGGUAACUUACCAGAAAGGGACGGCUAACUACGUGC